CUAAGGUUCGAUUCGAGCGCAGCGAGAAAGCGUUGCCGUAGGCAACGACCCGAAGGGCGAAGCGCGCAGCGCUGAGUAAUCCUUCCCCCGUCAUCC
rnacentral:sRNA from 3 species